rnacentral:rRNA from 1 species
GACGAACGCUGGCGGCGUGCUUAACACAUGCAAGUCGAACGGAAAGGCCCUGCUUUUGUGUGGUGCUCGAGUGGCGAACGGGUGAGUAACACGUGAGUAACCUGCCCUUGACUUUGGGAUAACUUCAGGAAACUGGUGCUACUACCGGAUAGGAGCUCCUGCUGCAUGGUGGUGGUUGGAAAUUUUCGGCGGUUGGGGAUGGACUCGCGGCUUAUCAGCUUGUUGGUGGGGUAGUGGCUUACCAAGGCUUUGAAGGGUAGCCGGCCUGAGAGGGGGACCGGCCACAUUGGGACUGAGAGACGGACCAGACUCCUACGGGAGGCAGCAGGGGGGAAUAUUGCACAAUGGGCGGAAGCCUGAUGCAGCAACGCCGCGUGCGGGAUGACGGCCUUCGGGUUGUAAACCGCUUUAGCCUGUGACGAAGCGUGAGUGACGGUAAUGGGUAAAGAAGCACCGGCUAACUACGUG